UACAGAGGUCCCAAGCGUUGUUCGGAUUCAUUGGGCGUAAAGGGUGCGUAGGCGGCGCGGUAAGUCGGGUGUGAAAUCUCGGAGCUUAACUCCGAAACUGCAUUCGAUACUGCCGUGCUUGAGGACUGGAGAGGAGACUGGAAUUUACGGUGUAGCGGUGAAAUGCGUAGAUAUCGUAAGGAAGACCAGUGGCGAAGGCGGGUCUCGUGGACAGUUCCUGACGCUGAGGCACGAAGGUCAGGGGAGCAAACGGG
rnacentral:rRNA from 1 species